CUGUCUGUUCUGUUCUAAGGGCCUGCCUGGGAAGGAUGGACCACAAGGACAGCAGGGUACUACAGGGCCCGUGGGCAGUCCUGGAGCCCCCGGGGCCCCUGGUGGAAGUGGCUCUCCUGGACCGCUGGGAGACCAGGGACCACCUGGCUCUGCUGGUACCAAAGGAGACAAGGGUGAACGGGGAGACCUGCAGUCUCAAGCUACCGUCAGGGCCUUAGCACGCCAAGUGUGUGAGCAACUGAUUCAGAGUCACCUGUCUCGCUACAGCUCCAUCCUGAACCAGAUCCCCAGCCAGUCAGUGUCUGUGAGGACGGUACCGGGACCUCCAGGAGAGCCCGGUCGCAGGGGUCUGCCAGGGCCACAGGGAGAGGGGGGCCC